rnacentral:rRNA from 1 species
AUUGAACGCUGGCGGCAUGCCUUACACAUGCAAGUCGAACGGCAGCGCGGGGCAACCUGGCGGCGAGUGGCGAACGGGUGAGUAAUAUAUCGGAACAUACCCUAGAGUGGGGAUAACGUAGCGAAAGUUACGCUAAUACCGCAUACGCACUAAGGUGGAAAGUGGGGGAUUCGCAAGAACCUCAUGCUCAUGGAGUGGCCGAUAUCUGAUUAGCUAGUUGGUGAGGUAAAGGCUCACCAAGGCAACGAUCAGUAGCUGGUUUGGGAGAACGACCAGCCACACUGGAACUGAGACACGGUCCAGACUCCUACGGGAGGCAGCAGUGGGGAAUUUUGGACAAUGGGGGCAACCCUGAUCCAGCAAUGCCG